GAUGAAGAACGUAGCGAAAUGCGAUAAGUAAUGAGAAUUGCAGAAGUCAGUGAAUCAUCGAAUCUUUGAACGCACAUUGCGCCCGUCAGUAUUCUGGCGGGCAUGCCUGUUCGAGCGUCAUUACGCCCCUCAAGUCCCCUGUGGACUUGGUGUUGGGGAUCGGCGAGGCUGGUUUUCCAGCACAGCCGUCCCUUAAAUUAAUUGGCGGUCUCGCCGUGGCCCUCCUCUGCGCAGUAGUAAAACACUCGCAACAGGAGCCCGGCGCGGUCCACUGCCGUAAAACCCCCCAACUUUUUAUAGUUGACCUCGAAUCAGGUAGGACUACCCGCUGAACUUAAGCAUAUCAAUAAGCGGAGGA
rnacentral:misc_RNA from 1 species